AUGAGGAAAGAGUGAGUUAUUGGAAUAAGUCUUAGCAGUGUGAGGACAGAGAAGCUUAUAUUUGGACCAGGGACAAUUCUCACAGUUUUACCAAACAUUUCAAAAACUUUUGAUCCUCAAGUCAUUGUGAUGAAAUCAAAGAAACUGGAAGAAGGCAACAGCACUGGGAAAGCAGCUUGUUUGGCAAGGAACUCCCCUACAAAGAACAUCAGCUUGGAGAUGCCCUCUCAGGAGGUGGUCUAUGAACAGAGCCCAUCCAUUUUGACAUCACAGGGGUUGUACAAUGCAAUUAAAGUGGUCAGGGUGACAAAAGACACAGAGGUGACCUGCACGGCCAAAUUUGACGACCGCACGAAAACAGCACAGCCAGAAGAGAAGGCUGAAGAACCAGUAACAGAGGCCAAUGACAAGGUUUGCAACAGCACAAACACCUCAGCACAAGCAGAUGCUGGAGGGCAGAGAGCAAACAUGCUGUCCAUGGCUGUGUUGGGUUUGAGAGUCCUGCUGGCAAAGAGCAUUGCCUUCAAUGCCCUCAUGAGCAUCAAGUUGUUUCUUUUCUGA